rnacentral:rRNA from 1 species
UUAAAUUAGUAAGGGCGCAUGGCGGAUGCCUUGGCACUAGAAGCUGAUGAAGGACGUGACGAACAACGAUAUGCUUCGGCGAGCUGUAAGUAAGCUUUGACCCGGAGAUUUCCGAAUGGGGAAACCCAGCAGUAGUAAUGUACUGUUAUCCUAUCAUGAAUACAUAGUGAUAGAGAAAGCAACCUGGCGAACUGAAACAUCUUAGUAACCAGAGGAAAAGAAAGAAAAAUCGAUUCCCUUAGUAGUGGCGAGCGAAAAGGGAUUAGCCCAAACCAAUCUUCGGAUUGGGGUAUAUAAGAGUUACAAAUUCUUUUUAUAGUUGAAUUCAAUGGAAAGUGAAACCAUAGUAGGUGAAAGUCCUGUAAACGAAAUAAAAAGAACUCUUUGAGGUAUCCUGAGUACAACGGAUCACGUGGAACUCUGUUGGAAUCCGCGGGGACCAUCCCGCAAGGCUAAAUACUCUCUAGUGACCGAUAGUGAACAAGUACCGAGAGGGAAAGGUGAAAAGAACCCCGGGAGGGGAGUGAAAUAGAAUACUGAAACCAUGUGCUUACAAAAAGUCAAAGUCCGUUAAUGGAUGAUGGCGUGCCUUUUGCAGAAUGAACCGGCGAGUUAAUGUUGCAUGCGAGGUUAAGUUGAAGAGACGGAGCCGUAGCGAAAGCGAGUCUUAAUAGGGCGAAUUAGUAUGUAGUAUUAGACCCGAAACCGAGUGAUCUAGCCAUGAGCAGGUUGAAGUUUAGGUAAAACUAAAUGGAGGACCGAACCGACGUACCCGGAAACGUGCGCGGAUGACUUGUGGCUAGCGGUGAAAUUCCAAACGAACUCGGAUAUAGCUGGUUCUCCCCGAAAUAGGUUUAGGCCUAGCCUUGAGAUUUAGCACUGUGGAGGUAGAGCACUGAAUAUAUGAUGGCCCCGUCUAGGGGUACUGAAUGUAAUCAAACUCCGAAUGCCAUGGUUGUAUGCUCAGGAGUCAGCGUAUGGGUGAUAACGUCCAUGCGCGAAAGGAAAAGAGUCCGGAUCGCCAGUUAAGGUCCCAAAAUUUGUACUAAGUGGGAAAGGAUGUGGAGUUGUCAAAACAGCUAGGAGGUUGGCUCAGAAGCAGCCAUCCUUUAAAGAGUGCGUAAUAGCUCACUAGUCGAGUGGCUCUGCGCCGAAAAUGUACCGGGGCUAAACAUAUUACCGAAACUGUGGAUUUAUGCGAUAGCAUAAGUGGUAGGGGAGCGUUCUAAGGGCGACGAAGAUAGAUCGAGAGGACUAUUGGAGCGCUUAGAAGUGAGAAUGCCGGUGUGAGUAACGUAAGGUAGGUGAGAAUCCUACCCACUGAUUGACCAAGGAUUCCAGGGUCAAGUUCGUCUACCCUGGGUAAGUCAGGACCUAAGGCGAGGCUGAGAAGCGUAGUCGAUGGACAACAGGUUUAUAUUCCUGUACUAUUUAUAGGACUGAAGGAGUGACAAAGGAAGCUAGUAAGAGCCAUUUAAUGGAUUAUGGUCUAAGCACAAAGACUGAUACAUAGGAAAAUCCGUGAUAUCGAACGGUUGAAGUGUGAUGGCGAAGCAGUCUACGGACAGCGAAGUCUUAUGAGGCUAAACUUUUUAAAAAAGCUUCUAAAGAAAUGCUAUAAAUACCUGUACUAAGAACCAACGCAGGUGGUCAAGGAGAGAAUCCUAAGGUGAGCGAGAGAACUAUGGUUAAGGAACUCGGCACAAUGAUCCCGUAACUUCGGAAUAAGGGAAGGUCUUGAAAAAGACCCGCAGUGAAUAGGCCCAAGCGACUGUUUACCAAAAACACAGGUUUCUGCAAAAGCGUAAGCUGAAGUAUAGGAGCUGACGCCUGCCCAGUGCUGGAAGGUUAAGAUGAUUUGUAAGAUGGACGAAAGUCGAUAACAUCGAAGCAAUGAAUUGAAGCCCCAGUGAACGGCGGCGAUAACUAUAAUCGUCCAAAGGUAGCGAAAUUCCUUGUCAGGUAAGUUCUGACCCGCACGAAAGGCGUAACGAUUUGGGCACUGUCUCAACCAUAGACUCGGUGAAAUCUUAAUACCUGUGAAAAUGCAGGUUACCAGCGACAGGACGGAAAGACCCCAUGGAGCUUUACUGUAGCUUGAUAUUGAAAUCAGGUAGUUAAUGUAGAGGAUAGGUGGUAGACAAUGAAGUUAAGACGCUAGUCUUAAUGGAGUCGACCUUGGAAUACCACCCUUUGACUAUUUGAUUUCUAACUUGCACCCGUAAUCCGGGUGAAGGACAGUGUCUGGUGGGCAGUUUGACUGGGGCGGUCGCCUCCUAAAGAAUAACGGAGGCGCUCAAAGGUUCCCUCAGAUUGGUCGGAAAUCAAUCAAAGAGUGUAUUGGUAUAAGGGAGCUUGACUGCGAGACCAACAAGUCGAGCAGGUGCGAAAGCAGGACAAAGUGAUCAGGCGGUAGAAAAUGGAAUUGCCGUCGCUUAACGGAUAAAAGUUACCCUGGGGAUAACAGGCUGAUACCACCCAAUAGUUCACAUAGACGGUGGUGAUUGGCACCUCGAUGUCGGCUCGUCACAUCCUGGAGGUGGAUUCGCUUCCAAGGGUUGGGCUGUUCGCCCAUUAAAGUGGCACGCGAGCUGGGUUCAGAACGUCGUGAGACAGUUCGGUCUCUAUCUGUUGUGGGCGCAGGAAAUUUGAGGGGUCCUGACUUUAGUACGAGAGGACCGAGUUGGACGAACCUCUGGUGUACCGGUUAUGCCGCCAGGUGUACCGCCGGGUAACCACGUUCGGACAGGAUAAGCGCUGAAAGCAUCUAAGCGCGAAGCCUACCCCAAGAUAAGAUUUCCCUUGAGGGUCGUAGGAGACUACUACGUUGAUAGGCCGCAGGUGUAAAGGCAGUAAUGUCAAAGCCGAGCGGUACUAAUUACCCGAACGACUUUCUGUA